AUACGGAGGAUCCGAGCGUUAUCCGGAUUUAUUAGGUUUAAAGGGUGCGCAGGCGGAACUGUAAGUCACCGGUGAAAUCCUACAGCUUAGCUGUAGAACUGCCGGUGAUACUGCGAUUCUUGAGUAUAGUUGAGGUAGGCGGAAUGUGUAGUGUAGCGGUGAAAUGCAUAGAUAUUACACAGAACACCGAUUGCGAAGGCAGCUUACUAAACUAUUACUGACGCUCAUGCACGAAAGCGUGGGGAGCGAACAGGAUUAGAAACCCCAGUAGUCC
rnacentral:rRNA from 1 species